rnacentral:rRNA from 1 species
CCCUAGUAACGGCGAGUGAAGCGGCAACAGCUCACAUUUGAAAUCUGGCGCAAGCCCGAGUUGUAAUUUGUAGAGGAUGCUUCUAGGUAGCGACCGGUCUAAGUUCCUUGGAACAGGACGUCAUAGAGGGUGAGAAUCCCGUAUGUGACUGGCCCGCACCUUCUACGUAGCUCCUUCGACGAGUCGAGUUGUUUGGGAAUGCAGCUCUAAAUGGGAGGUAAAUUUCUUCUAAAGCUAAAUACCGGCCAGAGACCGAUAGCGCACAAGUAGAGUGAUCGAAAGAUGAAAAGCACUUUGGAAAGAGAGUUAAAAAGCACGUGAAAUUGUUGAAAGGGAAGCGCUCACAACCAGACUUCUGGGCGGUGUUCCGCCGGUCUUCUGACCGGUCUACUCACCGUCCCGAGGCCAACAUCAUCUGGGACCGCCGGAUAAGACCUUAGGAAUGUAGCUCCCCUCGGGGAGUGUUAUAGCCUGUGGUGAUGCGGCGCGUCUCGGGUGAGGUCCGCGCUUCGGCAAGGAUGUUGGCGUAAUGGUUGUCAGCGGCCCGUCUUGAAACACGGACCAAGGAGUCUAACAUCUAUGCGAGUGUUCGGGUGUCAAACCCCUACGCGUAAUGAAAGUGAACGGAGGUGGGAAGGGUAACCUGCACCAUCGACCGAUCCUGAUGUCCUCGGAUGGAUUUGAGUAAGAGCAUAGCUGUUGGGACCCGAAAGAUGGUGAACUAUGCCUGAAUAGGGUGAAGCCAGAGGAAACUCUGGUGGAGGCUCGCAGCGGUUCUG